rnacentral:rRNA from 1 species
CAGUAGCCGCGGUAAUACGAAGGGGGCUAGCCUUAAUCGGAAUUGCUGGGCGUAAAGCGUGCGCAGGCGGUUUUGUAAGACAGGCGUGAAAUCCCCGGGCUCAACCUGGGAAUGGCGCUUGUGACUGCAAAGCUAGAGUGCGGCAGAGGGGGAUGGAAUUCCGCGUGUAGCAGUGAAAUGCGUAGAUAUGCGGAGGAACACCGAUGGCGAAGGCAGCCCCCUGGGCUAAGAUUGACGCUCAUGCACGAAAGCGUGGGGAGCAAACAGGAUUAGAUACCCCAGUAGUCCCUGUCUCUUAUAC